GAUGAACGCUGGCGGCGUGCCUAAUACAUGCAAGUCGAGCGAACGGACGAGAAGCUUGCUUCUCUGAUGUUAGCGGCGGACGGGUGAGUAACACGUGGAUAACCUACCUAUAAGACUGGGAUAACUUCGGGAAACCGGAGCUAAUACCGGAUAAUAUUUUGAACCGCAUGGUUCAAAAGUGAAAGACGGUCUUGCUGUCACUUAUAGAUGGAUCCGCGCUGCAUUAGCUAGUUGGUAAGGUAACGGCUUACCAAGGCAACGAUGCAUAGCCGACCUGAGAGGGUGAUCGGCCGCACUGGAACUGAGACACGGUCCAGACUCCUACGGGAGGCAGCAGUAGGGAAUCUUCCGCAAUGGGCGAAAGCCUGACGGAGCAACGCCGCGUGAGUGAUGAAGGUCUUCGGAUCGUAAAACUCUGUUAUUAGGGAAGAACAUAUGUGUAAGUAACUGUGCACAUCUUGACGGUACCUAAUCAGAAAGCCACGGCUAACUACGUGCCAGCAGCCGCGGUAAUACGUAGGUGGCAAGCGUUAUCCGGAAUUAUUGGGCGUAAAGCGCGCGUAGGCGGUUUUUUAAGUCUGAUGUGAAAGCCCACGGCCCAACCGUGGAGGGUCAUUGGAAACUGGAAAACUUGAGUGCAGAAGAGGAAAGUGGAAUUCCAUGUGUAGCGGUGAAAUGCGCAGAGAUAUGGAGGAACACCAGUGGCGAAGGCGACUUUCUGGUCUGUAACUGACGCUGAUGUGCGAAAGCGUGGGGAUCAAACAGGAUUAGAUACCCUGGUAGUCCACGCCGUAAACGAUGAGUGCUAAGUGUUAGGGGGUUUCCGCCCCUUAGUGCUGCAGCUAACGCAUUAAGCACUCCGCCUGGGGAGUACGACCGCAAGGUUGAAACUCAAAGGAAUUGACGGGGACCCGCACAAGCGGUGGAGCAUGUGGUUUAAUUCGAAGCAACGCGAAGAACCUUACCAAAUCUUGACAUCCUUUGACAACUCUAGAGAUAGAGCCUUCCCCUUCGGGGGACAAAGUGACAGGUGGUGCAUGGUUGUCGUCAGCUCGUGUCGUGAGAUGUUGGGUUAAGUCCCGCAACGAGCGCAACCCUUAAGCUUAGUUGCCAUCAUUAAGUUGGGCACUCUAAGUUGACUGCCGGUGACAAACCGGAGGAAGGUGGGGAUGACGUCAAAUCAUCAUGCCCCUUAUGAUUUGGGCUACACACGUGCUACAAUGGACAAUACAAAGGGCAGCGAAACCGCGAGGUCAAGCAAAUCCCAUAAAGUUGUUCUCAGUUCGGAUUGUAGUCUGCAACUCGACUACAUGAAGCUGGAAUCGCUAGUAAUCGUAGAUCAGCAUGCUACGGUGAAUACGUUCCCGGGUCU
rnacentral:rRNA from 1 species